AAAUAAAUAAAAUCUUUAAAAAAAAAAAAAGCAGUUUAAAAAUCUAGUGCUCGCUUCGGCAGCACAUAUACUAAAAUUGGAAUGAUACAGAGAAGAGUAUCAUGGCCCCUGCACAAUGAUGACAUGCAAAUUCAUGAAGCGUUCCAUAUUU